rnacentral:pre_miRNA from 7 species
UUUUUGUUGUUCUUAGGUAGAUAGUUAAUAGUAUUGAAAUACCCCCGAAGGGAGAUCCUCACUCAAGCCUUGGGACAGCCGCGGACCCAAGAAGACACUGAGACCG